rnacentral:rRNA from 1 species
UACGUAGGGGGCUAGCGUUGUCCGGAACUAUUGGGCGUAAAGAGCGUGUAGGCGGUUCGAUAAGUCUGCUGUAAAAGUCGGGGGCUCAACCCUCGAAGGCCGGUGGAUACUGUCGAGCUAGAGUACGGAAGAGGCGAGUGGAAUUCCUGGUGUAGCGGUGAAAUGCGCAGAUAUCAGGAGGAACACCAAUUGCGAAGGCAGCUCGCUGGGACGUAACUGACGCUGAGACGCGAAAGCGUGGGGAGCAAACAGG